GACACGCGCUUCGCGGAAGCUCCUCCUCCACUACUCCUCACGCGCCUCGAAGCCUCGAAACAGAACGUCACAUCACUAUUUACAACCACAAAAUGCGGAAAAAAUUCUGGAGGCGCCACUGGAGGGAUGAUGGACUACAAUAGAUUCAUGAAGAAAGUUUUGAUGAUGCGGAUUAGAUAUGGGUCUCAGACGUGUGUAUCAAAUAUGAAACCUGUAGUUAUAUAGGGUUAAUUCAUUAGAAUGUUAUACAUUGAUCAACAUUUUCAGACCAGAUUUGGCCCAGCCAGGUCAGUUUUAAUGCUGCCAUUGAGUUUUCUCACCUUCCUCUUUAAUUGGAUGACACAGACUAUCCUCUUACAAAAUCACUAGUCCUUAAUUGAAUCCUUUUCUCUCUCCACCCCCUCCAGCUCAUUCUUGCCCCUAGACUCCAGCAUUCCUCCCUGCAGUUUAUUCUGCCUCCUCGUGGCUCUCAGAAGCAGCAUCAGUCUUGUUCCAAAAGGCAGCCUUAGUUCAUGCUUAAGCUUCUCCAGAGCUGGAGGUCAGAGGUGUUAUGAGGACACAUGGUCUAACAUGGACACUAGAGUUGUGUGUCACUAACACAUUACUCAUCAGAGGGUCGGACGGGUUAGCCUGCAACACUGCUG